UACAGGGGUCCCGAGCGUUGUUCGGAUUCACUGGGCGUAAAGGGUGCGUAGGUGGCGCUGUAAGUCGGGUGUGAAAUUUCGGAGCUUAACUCCGAAACUGCAUUCGAUACUGCGGUGCUUGAGGACUGGAGAGGAGACUGGAAUUCAUGGUGUAGCAGUGAAAUGCGUAGAGAUCAUGAGGAAGACCAGUGGCGAAGGCGGGUCUCUGGACAGUUCCUGACACUGAGGCACGAAGGCCAGGGGAGCAAACGGG
rnacentral:rRNA from 1 species